rnacentral:rRNA from 1 species
GGGCUAGCGUUGCUCGGAAUCACUGGGCGUAAAGCGCACGUAGGCGGAUUGCUAAGUCAGGGGUGAAAUCCUGGAGCUCAACUCCAGAACUGCCCUUGAUACUGGCGGUCUCGAGUCCGGGAGAGGUGAGUGGAACUGCGAGUGUAGAGGUGAAAUUCGUAGAUAUUCGCAAGAACGCCAGUGGCGAAGGCGGCUCACUGGCCCGGUACUGACGCUGAGGUGCGAAAGCGUGGGGAGCAAACAGG